GAGCCGCGGUAGCCGAGAGGGAAGGGAAGCGGUGUCCGAGUCGUAGUAAGUAACACCGGAGAGCACCGGGGCAGGUCGAUGCUCGCUGCGGGGCCGAACCCCGGCAGAAGCAUAAAGUGGCCUGGACCUGUCCCAAGGUAGCCAUCUGAAAGAACCUCUUCAAGUAGUAAAAGCAGAGCAUGCUGGUGAUACUAUCUCUGGAGAGACAUCUGAAGUUAUUAGUGUGGACAUCAAACAUCACCUUAAACUAUUUGGGGUUAAAAACAGGUGUGUCCUACAUUAGUCAAGAUUGUGAAGAAAUUCCAGAAUUCCUAGGAAGAAAAUAUGGACAUAUGGCAAAAAGGCUAGAUCUUAGCUUCAACUUGUUAAGAGAGGAGAGGGAGUUUCAGUCUCAGGGGGUUAGUUCUUUUCUUUCCAAGACUCAAGGACAGUGGAUGCAACAGCAAGAUCUUUUGGACAAUUCCAAAAACUAUCCUGAAGUCUACAAAAUUAUUCUUCGUAGUUCUAGUGAAAACCUGUUACUGGGUGAGAGAGAUCUGGGGCUGCAGAAGAGGAUUUUCAAGAAGUUUUCUGUCCUUGUUGUAACAUGGUGUGCUCACCCAUGCUUGAUCUGUUAAACAGAAGUUAUAUAGCUGAAUUUCACUCGCCCAUUUUUGAAAACUGUAGUAUAUAGGUAGUCCAUUUGAAAUGGAUCUGUGUUUGACAGGUUGUAGUUCUGUCCUUUGGCAGGCUGUUUUCAUUUUUCCUCCCCCUUAUUUUGUUUGCAUAUUUUGUUUUUGUUGCAUUAUGCUAUUUAAUAUUUAUCUUCUUUUUCAUUAAUCAAAAAAUACUAAUCUCAUCAAUAUGUGUUUCAUGUAUUAGCCUACUCCUAUGGUUCGACAAGUAAUGGGAAUUUAUUAAAUACAUGAAUUCAAGAGAAGUUUUGAAUCAUCUUGGAUAUCUGUCUCUGAAAUUCCUGUCAGCAUGUAAUGAGAAAAGUGUUUUGGGAUAUAUAAGCUCUGAGUUAGGUUGGAAAUACGUAUUGUUGAAUAAAUUGUGUCUACUGUUUGAAGUGGGAGGAAUA
ensembl:lncRNA